rnacentral:rRNA from 1 species
AUACGUAGGUGACAAGCGUUAUCCGGAUUUACUGGGCGUAAAGGGCGUGUAGGCGGUCUUGCAAGUCAGAAGUGAAAUUCCUGAGCUCAACUCGGGCGCUGCUUCUGAAACUGCAGGACUUGAGUGCUGGAGGGGAUAGCGGAAUUCCUAGUGGAGCGGUAAAAUGCGCAGAUAUUAGGAAGAACACCGGUGGCGAAUGCGGCUAUCACGCCAGUAACUGACGUUUAGGCGCGAAAGCGUGGGGAGCAAACAUGAUUAGAUGCCCUGGUAGUCCACGCUGUAAACGAUGAAUACUAGGUGUAGGGAGUAUCGCCUCCCUCUGUGCCGCAGUUAACGCAUUAAGUAUUCCGCCUGGGGAGUACGGCCGCAAGGUUGAAACUCAAAGGAAUUGACGGGG